UUUAAAUGGCCGCAGUAUAUUAACUGUGCAAAGGUAGCAUAAUCAUUAGUCUUUUAAUUGAAGGCUUGUAUGAAUGGUUGGACGAAAUAUUAACUGUUUCAUAUAAAUUUAUAUUAGAAUUUUAUUUUUUAGUUAAAAAGCUAAAAUUUUAUUAAAAGACGAGAAGACCCUAUAAAUCUUUAUAUUUAAAUUAUUAAAUUAAAUUUUGAUUUAAUUCAUUUUAAUAAUUAAUGAUAUUUUAUUGGGGUGAUAUUAAAAUUUAAUAAACUUUUAUUUUUAGAAAUCAUUAAUUAAUGAAUAAUUGAUCCAUUAUUAGUGAUUAAAAAUUUAAGUUACUUUAGGGAUAACAGCGUAAUUUUUUUGGAGAGUUCAUAUCGAUAAAAAAGAUUGCGACCUCGAUGUUGGAUUAAGAAAUAAUUUUAGGUGUAGUUGCUUAAAUUUUAAGUCUGUUCGACUUUUA
rnacentral:rRNA from 1 species